rnacentral:rRNA from 1 species
UACGUAGGGUGCGAGCGUUGUUCGGAAUUAUUGGGCGUAAAGGGCUCGUAGGCGGUUUGUCGCGUCGGGAGUGAAAUCCACUGGCUUAACUGGUGGCUUGCUUUCGAUACGGGCAGACUAGAGUUCGGCAGGGGAGACUGGAAUUCCUGGUGUAGCGGUGAAAUGCGCAGAUAUCAGGAGGAACACCAGUGGCGAAGGCGGGUCUCUGGGCCGAUACUGACGCUGAGGAGCGAAAGCGUGGGGAGCGAACAGG